GAGACCGAUAGUGAACCAGUACCGUGAGGGAAAGGUGAAAAGCACUCCGAACAGGAGGUUGAAAUAGUCCCUGAAACCGUACGCCUACAAGCGGUCGGAGCAGCAUCAAGCUGUGACGGCGUGCCUUUUGCAUAAUGAACCUACGAGUUGCCGUCGCCGGCAAGGUUAAGGGAAAUGAUUCCCGCAGCCGAAGCGAAAGCGAGUCUGAACAGGGCGUCCAGUCCGCGGCGGCAGACGCGAAACCGUGUGAUCUACCCUUGUCCAGGAUGAAGUCCGGGUAACGCCGGAUGGAGGUCCGAACCGAUAAGCGUUGAAAAGCUUCCGGAUGAGGUGAGGGUAGGGGUGAAAGGCCAAUCAAACUCGGAGAUAGCUCGUACUCCCCGAAAUGCAUUUAGGUGCAGCCUUGUACGUUCCAGACCAGAGGUAGAGCGACUGAUAAGACGCGAGGGCUUCACCGCCUAUCAAGUCUUGACAAACUCCGAAUGCUGGUAUUGCCAAAGUACAGGAGUGAGGGCGUGGGUGCUAAGGUCCGCGCCCGAGAGGAGAACAAUCCAGACCGUCGUCUAAGGCCCCGAAAUAACCACUAAGUUAGUCUAACGAAGUCCGGUUGCAGAGACAGCUAGGAUGUUGGCUUGGAAGCAGCCAUUCAUUUAAAGAGUGCGUAACAGCUCACUAGUCGAGGAACCGGGCGUGGAUAAUAAUCGGGUAUUAAGUGGUUUGCCGAAGACUCGGGAUCAAUACGAUCGGUAGGGGAGCAUUCCAUCGGCGUUGAAUGUCUUCCGUGAGGAGGGCUGGAGCUUAUGGAAAAGCAAAUGUAGGUAUAAGUAACGAUAAAGGGGGCGGGAAACCCCCUCGCCGAAAGACCAAGGUUUCCUGAUCAACGCUAAUCGGAUCAGGGUAAGUCGGGCCCUAAGGCACAGCCUAACGGCGUAGCCGAUGGCAGAAACGGUAAAGAUUCCGUUACUGCCGCAUGUGGUGACGCGGGGACGCAGGAGUGACACCGCCGCCACCUGACGGAAUAGGUGGUUGAAGGGUGUAGGAGUUGAUUCCGGCAGGCAAAUCCGCCGGGAGAUCCGAACCUGAGAGUAUGGCGCGUCCUUCGGGACAAGCCAAUAGCGCGGGUAAGCGUGCUGCCGAGAAAAUCCGCUACGCAUAACACAUGCGGCACCCGUACCGAAACGGACACACGUGGUCGGGUAGAAUAUACUAAGGCGCUUGGGUGAGUCACGGUUAAGGAACUAGGCAAAUUGACCCUGUAACUUCGGGACAAAGGGUCCCUACCCCAGUGAUGGGGAGGGCGCAGCGAAUCGGUCCAGGCAACUGUUUACCAAAAACACAGGGCUGUGCGAAUUCGAAAGAAGAAGUAUACAGCCUGACACCUGCCCGGUGCCGGAAGGUUAAGAGGAGAGGUCAUCGCAAGAGAAGCCUUGAAUUGAAGCCCCGGUAAACGGCGGCCGUAACUAUAACGGUCCUAAGGUAGCGAAAUUCCUUGUCGGGUAAGUUCCGACCUGCACGAAUGGUGUAAUGAUCUGGACGCUGUCUCAACCGUGAGCCCAGUGAAAUUGUAGUAUCGGUGAAGAUGCCGAUUACCCGCGAUGGGACGAAAAGACCCCGUGAACCUUUACUAUAGCUUAGCAUUGGAUCUGGGCACGUGAUGUGUAGGAUAGGCCGGAGGCAUUGAAGCAGGUACGCCAGUAUUUGUGGAGCCGCCGUUGAAAUACGGCCCUUUAUUUGUUUGGAUUCUAACUCCU
rnacentral:rRNA from 1 species